CCGAACCUUCCUUUUUUUUUUUUGCGUACGUGUGGAGAGGAUUCUCCUUCUUUAGGCAUUUAUAGUCUUUACCCACCAAAAGCCAACUUGUAAUGGAUCCUUUUGCUCUCUCUGCUUUUCAUUAUCUUCAAUGGUGUUGUCUAAGUUUCUAACCUUCAACAAUGUAUUUAUUAGUUUUUCUUUUCUUUCAUCUCUCUAUUUCGACACGUUUGUCGCUUCUCCACCUCUCAUAACACAUUCACCAUAAUCUCGAAUAUUAAUUUUAUUGAUUUCUUACGCAUCUUAAAACCAAAGACUUUAACUAUGAAAUGUGUUUAUUGUUAUGAAAUAUGUCUACGUAAUGCAAAAUCGAUAAAAGUGAGCAUAGGUUUUAUUUGGUUUAUGCCAUUAUGUGUGGUGCAAUAGCAAAAUGUUAGAAGAUAAAAGUUUCCACUUUGUCUAAAGGAAAAAAAAAAAAUUGACUUUGAUUAGCUAAAAACUUUUAGAAGGACUCGUAACACAUAGGCAAUAGGCUCAUCAUAGCAACAUAGGUUUGAUUUAUUGUCUUGUCAGUAUAUAUCAUAUAGUUUCAUAUCCAUCUAUCGUCGUCAUAUGAAAUUCUGC
rnacentral:lncRNA from 1 species